AAAGUGGGGGAUGAUUCAAUGAUUCCUGACUGGUCCACAGCCAUAUAUCAAUUGAGGUUAUAAUACUAAUUUGAAUUGCAAAUCUCUGAAAAGAAGGGGACAAGCUAAGGAGAUAAAAUUUAACAGGCCUCUUCCUCCUGCUUGCCACCUCUCAGUCACAAGACGGCUGCUGCGACUCAGGCUCAUGUCCCAAUUCAAGGCAGCAAGAAGGCCAUGGAGCGGCACCUGCCAGCUCCUGUCUCCCCAUCCCCUAGAAUCGUUGACAAAAUGAGUGACACUGCCCUGGGAUCUGGGUCUCUGGUUGAGGCCUUGGAGCUACUGCCUCUGCCUGUGAACUCACCCAUCAUCGCUAACAGGUUGCUCCACAGCCUACAGAUCUCAAUAUUUCGCUAGCACAAAACCCAAGCGGCCAGGCACGGUGGCUCACGC
rnacentral:lncRNA from 1 species